UACGUAGGUGGCAAGCGUUGUCCGGAAUUAUUGGGCGUAAAGCGCGCGCAGGCGGCCUUUUAAGUCUGAUGUGAAAGCCCACGGCUCAACCGUGGAAGGUCAUUGGAAACUGAAAGGCUUGAGUACAGAAGAGGAAAGCGGAAUUCCACGUGUAGCGGUGAAAUGCGUAGAGAUGUGGAGGAACACCGGUGGCGAAGGCGGCAUCCUGGACCGAGAUUGACGCUGAUGAGCGAAAGCUAGGGGAGCAAACGGG
rnacentral:rRNA from 1 species